CCCCUAGUAACUGCGAGUGAAGCGGGAAAAGCUCAAAUUUAAAAUCUGGCGGUCUUUGGCCGUCCGAGUUGUAGUCUGGAGAAGUGCUUUCCGCGCUGGACCGUGUAUAAGUCUCUUGGAACAGAGCGUCAUAGAGGGUGAGAAUCCCGUCUUUGACACGGACUACCAGUGCUUUGUGAUGCGCUCUCAAAGAGUCGAGUUGUUUGGGAAUGCAGCUCAAAAUGGGUGGUGAAUUCCAUCUAAAGCUAAAUAUUGGCGAGAGACCGAUAGCGAACAAGUACCGUGAGGGAAAGAUGAAAAGCACUUUGGAAAGAGAGUUAAACAGUACGUGAAAUUGCUGAAAGGGAAACGCUUGAAGUCAGUCGCGUUGUCCGGGACUCAGCCUUGCUUUCGCUUGGCGCACUUUCCGGAUGACGGGCCAGCAUCGAUUUUGACCGUCGGAAAAGGGCUAGGGUAAUGUGGCACCUCCGGGUGUGUUAUAGACCUUAGUCGCAUACGGCGGUCGGGAUCGAGGAACGCAGCGCGCCGUAAGGCAGGGGUUUGCCCACAUUCGCGCUUAGGAUGCUGGCGUAAUGGCUUUAAACGACCCGUCUUGAAACACGGACCAAGGAGUCUAACAUGCCUGCGAGUGUUUGGGUGGUAAACCCGAGCGCGUAAUGAAAGUGAAAGUUGAGACCUCUGUCGUGGAGGGCAUCGACGCCCGGACCUGACGUUCUCUGACGGAUCCGCGGUAGAGCAUGUAUGUUGGGACCCGAAAGAUGGUGAACUAUGCCUGAAUAGGGUGAAGCCAGAGGAAACUCUGGUGGAGGCUCGUAGCGAUUCUGACGUGCAAAUCGAUCGUCAAAUUUGGGUA
rnacentral:rRNA from 1 species